AACGCUUCCUGGUGUAUGAUACAAUGAUAAGCUGUCAGCUCACCUGUCGCGUUUUCCUCUUGCAUCUUUUCCCGUAUCUUCGCCACCAGUCCGCUCCUGUGUCCACACAUCGCAGGUGCUCCGUCGGUUGUCAAACCCACGAGUUUUUCCCAAGGCAGCUCCAUCUCAUUUACACAUCUUGACACCUCUUCAUACAAAUCAUGCCCCGUAGUUGUGCCAUGCAUAGGACGUAAAGCCAAAAACUCCUCUGUCACGCUUAGGCUGGAGUCCACUCCGCGGAUGAAAAUUGACAACUGGGCAAUGUCAGAAAUGUCGGUGCUCUCAUCCACAGCCAAGGAAUAUGCAAUGAAAUCUUUUCCCUUUUUCACAAGCUGCUCUUUUAGAUUGAUGGACAACUGGUCUACUCUCUCGGCAAUGGUGUUUCUGCUCAGACUCACAUUUAAAAAGAGCUGCCUUUUUUCUGGGCAAACUUCGUCACAAACUUUAAUCAUGCAGUUUUUGAUGAAAUCCCCCUCCGUAAAUGGCCGGGCUGAUUUAGCGAUCUCUUCUGCCAAAAUAAAACUGGCCUUGACAGCAGCCUGGCCUUGUGAUUUGGCUUUUUUGAACAGAGCCUGUCGAGAUUUGAGGCCUCGUUUUAAUUCCUCUGCCUUUUGUAGCCUUUGUUCCAUGUCCAUAUUCUUGUUUUUGUCCGCGUGUUUCGUUUCAUAAUGUCGUCUCAGAUUAUACUCUUUCAGUACCGCCACACUUUCUCCACACAGAAGACACACAGGUUUUCCAGCUACCUCCGUGAACAUAUACUCCGACUCCCACCUUGUUUGAAACCCCCAGUUCUCAGUGUCCACCUUCCGUUUUGCCAUUUUUGAUGGGUAUCUGAAAGUUAAUUUUACUGUGAUGCUGACGACUGCUGUGCCAAUAAAUAUUGAAAUGAAGCAGCCUACUGCUCGGUGCGUCACCGUUGCAUUGUGGGAAAUGUAGUAUUGGUGCGUGUAAAAGAUCUGCGGGCUGCCGGCUUGCUGCGGUCUGCGGGCCGGUUCUAAUAAUAAAUCAAGAUCAUCCCAGGGGCCGUAAAAAACCUUCUCGCGGGCCGGAUGUGGCCCGCGGGCCUUGACUCUGACAUAUGUGCUCUAGAGGAUCUGUGUCCCGUCCUCGGGAUGGUUGCGCUAACGUAUGCUAAUGUGAGUAGCACGAGGUUGUAGGAAACAAAACAAAAUCCCAGGACAUAGACAUAUCUGAUAAGGGCAGAUAUAUUAACAAGAAUUUAAGCUAACUGCACUGUCCAAUUUACAGUAGCUAUUACAGUGAAAGAAUACCAUGCUAUUGUUUGAGCAGAGUGCACAAUUAUGAACUUGAAAAUGUAUGAAUAAACCAAAUUAGGCACAUUUGGGCAGUCUUGAUACAACAUUUUGAAUAGAUAUGCAAUAGUUCAUUGGAUCAGUCUAAAACUUUGCCAUACACCUGGCAUCUAGUUGCCAAAGUCUAUAUUGCGUCUGGGCUAGAAUAAUUCAUUAUGGCCUUUCUCUUGCAUUUCAAAGAUAAUGGUACAAAUUAUCUCUUUUUAAAUGUGUUUUUUCUUUGUAUUGUCUUUUACCAGAUCUAAUGUGUUAUAUUCUCUCAUACAUUAAUUUCACAUUUCCACAAACUUUAAAGUGUUUCCUUUGAAAUGGUAUGAAGAAUACUUAUAUCCUUGCUUCAGGUCCUGAGCUACAGGCAGUUAGAUUUGGGUAUGUCAUUUUAGGCUAAAAUUGACAAAAUCCUUAAGAGUUAUUAACCUUUAUAUAACUAGGCAAGUCAGUUAAGGACAAAUUAUUAUUUUACAAUGAUGGCCUACCCUGGCCAAAUCCUCCUCUAACCAGGAUGACAAUUGUGUGCCGGCUUAUGGGACUCCCGAUCAUGGGAUCGAACCAGGGUAUGUAGUGAUGCCUCUAGCACUGAGAUGCCAUGCCUUAGACCACUGAGCAACUCUGAAGCCCAAGUGAGAAAAGAAAUAUGAUCUCCCUCGUCCCUCUUACUCACGCUUACUCUCUUAAAUACGAGUAAAACUAAAUGCAUUGCUUUUCAACCGAUCGCUGCCUGCGCCUGCCCGCCUGUCCAACAUCACUACUCUGGACGGCUCUGACUUAGAAUAUGUGGACAACUACAAAUACCUAGGUGUCUGGUUACACUGUAAACUCUCCUUCCAGACUCACAUCAAACAUCUCCAAUCCAAAGUUAAAUCUGCAAGUGGCUUCCUAUUCCGCAACAAAGCAUCCUUCACUCAUGCUGCCAAACAUACCCUUGUAAAACUGACCAUCCUACCAAUCCUCCACUUCGGUGAUGUCAUUUACAAAAUAGCCUCCAAUACCCUACUCAAUAAAUUGGAUGCAGUCUAUCACAGUGCCAUCCGUUUUGUCACCAAAGCCACCACUGUGACCUGUACGCUCUCGUUGGCUGGCCCUCGCUUCAUAAUCGUCGCCAAGCCCACUGGCUCCAGGUCAUCUACAAGACCCUGCUAGGUAAAGUCCCGCCUUAUCUCAGCACGCUGGUCACCGUAGCAGCACCCACCUGUAGCACGCGCUCCAGUAGGUAUAUCUCUGGUCACCCCCAAAACCAAUUCUUCCUUUGGCCGCCUCUCCUGUGAACCUCUCCUGUGCACAUUUGUGGCCUGCUGGAGGUCAUUUUGCAGGGCUCUGGCAGUGCUCCUCUUUGCACAAAGGCGGCGGUAGCGGUCCUGCUGCUGGGUUGUUGCCCUCCUACGACCUCCUCCACGUCUCCUGAUGUACUGGCCUGUCUCCUGGUAGCGCCUCCAUGCUCUGGACACUACACUGACAGACACAGCAAACCUUCUUGCCACAGCUCGCAUUGAUGUGCCAUCCUGGAUGAGCUGCACUACCUGAGCCACUUGUGUGGGUUGUAGACUUCGUCUCAUGCUACCACUAGAGUGAAAGCACCGCCAGCAUUCAAAAGUGACCAAAACAUCAGCCAGGAAGCAUAGGAACUGAGAAGUGGUCUGUGGUCACCACCUGCAGAACCACUCCUUUAUUGGGGGAUGUCUUGCUAAUUGCCUAUAAUUUCCACCUUUUGUCUAUUCCAUUUGCACAACAGCAUGUGAAAUUUAUUGUCAAUCAGUGUUGCUUCCUAAGUGGACAGUUUGAUUUCACAGAAGUGUGAUUGACUUGGAGUUACAUUGUGUUGUUUAAGUGUUCCCUUUAUUUUUUUGAGCAGUGUAUAUAUGCACAUUAUCGAACAAAACAUAAGUGUAUUGUGUAACAUGAUGUCAUAUGACUCAUCUGAUGAAGAUGUUCAAAGGUUAGUGAUUAAUUUUAUCUCUAUCUGUGGGUUUUGUGAAAGCUAUCUUUGCUGUGAAAAAAUGUCUGUGCUUUUUUGGAUUUGGGGGUGAGCUAACAUAAAUAUAUGUUGUGUUUUCGCUGUAAAACAUUUUUUUUAAAUCGGACAUGUUGGCUGGAUUCACAAGAUGUUUCUUUCAUUUGCUGUAUUGGACUUGUUAAUGUGUGAAAGUUAAAUAUUUCAAAAAAAUAUUUUGGAAUUUCCCGCGCUGCCUUUUCAGUGGAAUGUUGGGGGGAGGUUCUGCUAGCGGAACCCCUGGGCUGUAAAGGUUAACAUAAACAAUAUUUCACUCCACUCUAAAAAUAUACUUUUGGAUUAUAAACAUGUAUAUACAUUUUAGAAUACUAAAAUAUCCCUUGUAUCGUCAUGUCAUAUACAUCAUACAUCAUAGUUGUUCAAAUGUUGCAUAUACAUUUUUUAUUAUCUCGGUAUUGUGUUAUAUUGUUUUCUGUGUGUACGAAAAAAUAAUAUAUAUGAAUGCAGCUACCACUUCAUUAAAAAAAAUGUAGAUGCAUUUGCACCUAGAUAAUUUUGUUAUAUAAUGGGUACAUGUGGGGUUUGCUACCUCUGGAAGUUCCUUUGGUCUGUACAGAGUUAGGUAAAUCUGCUCUUUGCCCCUUACAUGGGGAAUAAUCUCCAAGCUGCUCUAAACAUUGCUGUUUUUGAAUGUCUCUAGGUUAAUCUCUAGACUGUUGAAUGAGGCCUGUUACAACUUACAAAACCUUUUAAAGGGAGUUGGUGAAACCAUUUAAUCAUGGAUGUAUGUAAAACAUACGCCUCCAAAUCUAAUAUAUUAUUUUCACUAACUCACCUUCAGAAAGCUCCAUUAGGAUGGAUUCACAGAUUAUCUAUUAGCUGCUCGAGAUUCCGCGGUUCUGGGCUGCUGGCCUGGUGUUUGGAGUUGCGCUAAUGCCUUUCGUACAGAAUGGUUAGAAUACGGUCUGUUUCACUAGCCUCGCUCUGCGGUCGUGUCUCUAACAAGAGAUAGCAUGUAAUGAGUUUACAGAGCGGGGGUGACGUUUUUCGGGCGACAUCCUGUAUGCAAAAAUGGACCAGUAGUACCCCAGAAUGUUUAGAGACCCCAAAACAACAGGAGGGUUUCUCGACAUGUUAUGUCUGUCUUUAUUGCCUUUAUGCCUCGUAGCACCUCAGGGGAAGCAGCUUGGGGGGUGUCCGAAAUAAAUGUAUAGACCUGGGUGGGGGCCGUUUGUAUAUGGGCUAAUUAUAAAUAACAUAUGUUUUAAACCGUAGGAGGUUGUCUCGACAAGAAAUAUUCUGCCUGGGUUGUUUGACUUUUUAGCCUCCCACGUCCUUGUGGGUGAGAUAAAUACGUAUUUGAAAGGCAUGUGUGGUAAAUGAAUCGAAAGUGCCCAUUUGAAGAGAAGCACACAUUUUUGAUUUCAAACGCCCCAUGCAGACACACACCCCCACCCACUUUUGUUUUGAAACACACACACCUACAUUCCCGCACACGUCUUUUCCUAAAUUCUUUUUCUCCGGGACAUUCAUGAUGAUAGAGCUAAAAGACAGAGCCUUCGUUAAAGACCGGGGCGAGAGAGAGCGAUUGAUUCCCGUUCGUUAAAGUAUAAAGGGCCUGGUUAUAGGUUUAUACAUUCUGCCGUUUCCAAUUCCUCCCCGUCGUCAUGAGUCUCUCUUGCUCGCAGGAUAUUCCACACAAGCCCCAGCUCCGUAAGUUUUCCAGGCACAAAGUAGUUCAUCCAGACAGGCUUGGGAAAAUACAUACGAACUAAUAGAUUUUUUUGUAGCAUUUCUACUAUGUCUGUCAUGUUAUUGUGGUCUUUUUUAAAGUCAAUAAACGUGUGUAAAGUGUACACUUUUGUUUGACAGUAGAUUUGUUUAAGCCCACCAAGAAAUCUCUGAUUUAUCCCACAGCAUUAAUUAAUAAGCUGGGUAGAAAAUGAAUCUGUGGGGGCGCUAGAGAGCGUGCUAUGGAGUAGACGUGCUUUGUUAGAGCUCCGCUCUAUUUUGAAACAAAUUAGUAUUUAUCUUAACCUCUCACAGCCUAUAACUUCAAACAAAUAUGACAAAGGGAAAGGGCACCAAAAAAGGGGGCGCUAAACAAGAUAAUUGGAAUGAGAUAGACAACGAACCAAUUUCAACGUCGCCGACCCACGAGGAGCUGGCUGAAGAGGCUAGCUUCCAUGAGUUCGCCACAGAUCCUUCUCAAAGUGAUAUACUGGCUGCCAUAAACUCACUAAGCAAGAAGGUGGACACAAGGUUGGCUGAUAUCUCAAAGAGUAUUGGGACUUUGGCCGAAACUGUGAAGGCAACUAAGGAAAGGGUGCACGAGGUUGAGCAGACGACAGUCUAUCACGAGGCCAGGCUACAGGACAUAGAGAAACAGUGCGCAACGUUCAAAAAUGACAACAAAACCCUGAAAGCCCGAUUUGGAAAUGCUCGAGUCGCAUUCAAGACGCCAGAACAUCCGAAUAUGUGGGAUCCAGGAGGACACUGAGAAAAGGAAACCCACUGAAUUUGUCUCGGAGCUGAUACUGGCAUUGCUGGGGAGUGAACACUUCAAAACGGCCAUCCUGAUCAUCCGCACACACAGAUCUCAGGCAAUGAAGCCGGCCAAGGGCGGGCCACCAAGGCCAUUCAUUGUAAGGCUGCACCAUCCCCAGACCAGGGAUCUCAUCCUCAAGCUGGCUAGUCAAAAGUUCCCCCUUAACUACAACGGAGCCAGGGUGUCUUUCUACCCAGAUCUUACCUUGGAGGUGAGGAACCAACGGAAAGAGUAUGAUGAGGUACAGGGCGGCCAACAUCCGAUAUGGAUUCCUCUUCCCAGCCCGGUUUAAUGGGACAGUCGAGGGAUCAACACGUACGUUUGACAACCCAAAAGAGGCCGAUCUGUUAUUGACAAGCAAGCUCCCCGGCUGAGGAUACAGAACGGCUGUGUCAGCCGGCUAAAUGACCAAAUACAGGCCAGGAAUGUGUUUGAAUUGAAUUUCCGGCCUAUGUCUUUGCGAUCAGAAGAUCAGAAAUUGGGACUUAUAUGAUAGGUAAGAUGUUGUGGCUAAUAGAGCAUUGUUUGGCAUGUCAUGUUUUAGCGCCACUCAUCCCCGAACGUGAGAGUUAAUUUAAGUGUUAUUUAACUUCUCUGCACUACGAAUCCCGUUAGCGGGAUCACUUUCCUAAACAACCGCUAGAAUUGCAGGGCACCAAAUGCAAAAAUAUUACAACAAAUAUUUAUAAUCAUGCAAUCACAAGUAAAAAAUAUACCAAAACACAGCUUAGCUUGUUGUUAAUCCACCUAUCGUGUCAGAUUUUGAAAAUAUACUUUACAGCGAAACAAAUCCAAGCUUUUGUGAGUGUAGCAAUCAAUGCUACAACAGCUAGCCCCAAAUUAGCAUAGUCACGAAAGUCAGAAAAGCAAUAAAAUUAAUUGCUUACCUUAGAUAAUCUUCGGAUGUUUGCACUCACGAGACUCCCAGUUACACAAAUGUUAUUUUUGUUCGAUAAAUAUUACUUUUAUCACAAAAAAACGCCAUUUGGGUUGCGCGUUAUGUUCAGAAAACCAAAGCCUUGUUCCGUUCGACAAAUUCCAAAAAGUAUCCGUAAUGGUCGUAGAAACAUGUCAAAUGUUUUUUAUAAUCAAUCCUCAGGUUGUUUUUAACAAACAUAAUCGAUAAUAUUUCAACCGGACCAUAACCUAUUCAUUAAGAGAAAAUGAAAAUGGAGAGCUCCUCUCGCGCGCGCAGGAAUUAUUCGGAGGACACCUGACUACUUUUGAAAAAUCACGCUCAUUUUUCAAAAUAAAAGCCUGAAACUAUGUCUAAAGCCUGGUCACAGCCUGAGGAAGCCAUUGGAAAGGAAUCUGGUUGAUACCCCUUUAAAUGGAAGAAAGACGGUCCAGGAAACACAGAUUACAUUUUUCUUUAAUCACUUCCGGGUUAGAUUUUCUCAGGUUUUCGUCUGCAGAAUACGUUUUGUAAUGCUCACAGACAAUAUUUUGACAGUUUUGGAAACUUUGGAGUGUUUUCUAUCCUAAUCUGUAAAUUAUAUGCAUAUUCUACGACCUGAGCCAGAGAAAAUGUCUGUUUACCUUGAGAACGUUAUUUUUAGAAAAUAAAAAAAUCUGACCCCUAGCGCUAAGAGGUUUAAUAUUAGUUUAUAUGCGGAGCAUCUAUAGACGACGAGUUCGUUCAAGCUGAAUGUCUAGACACCCUAAGGUUUGUGUGUUAGCCAAGGAGUGCUUUGUUUGGGGAAGUCACUCAGUAAUGGGACGGGAGGGGGAAUGGGGUCUGUGUUCUAUGUUCACGUUUAUUAAUACAGGUGGCAUGACAAGAUCCCGCACGGCGGGACGUUUUUCUUGUGGGUUUUGUAUGACAGCAGCAAUUUGCUCUAAAAUAAGAAAUGCCACAUAGUGGCAGAGCACAGAGUAGACCAGAUGGAAUAAAGAUAGUCAGCUGGAACUGUAAUGGCUUAGGGCAUGUCGUGAAAUGAGCUAAGGGUUUUUCUCAUCUUAAAUCACUGGGUGCUGACAUAGUGCUUCUUCAAGAAACGCAUAUUAAACGCUCCACGCAGGACAAGCUACGAGUCGGCUAGAUCGGUCAGAUAUACCAGUCUAACUUUGGUGCAAAAGCGAGAGGGGUAGCAAUCCUGAUAAGGAAAAACAUUCCUUUUGUUUACUCAACCUCGAUUUCAGAUCCUAAUGGUCGGUAUAUUAUUGUGGCUGGUAGAAAUCUCAAAUGAGGACUGGGUAGAAGCUCUCAGGAAUAUAAACCACAGUUCAGUGAAUGCCAGACACAACCUUGUACAGUUUAAGGUGAUACACAGAUCAGACUACUCAAAAGUCAUACUGCAUAAAAUAUUCCCGGACACCUCACCACUGUGUGAGAGGUGCAAGCAGGAUGAGGGGACGUUGACCCACUUAUUCUGGACAUGCCCUAAGUUACAUGCUUACUGGGCUCUCAUUUUUGAUUACUUAUCUAAGGCCUUUGAUAGAGUUCUAGCCCCAGACCCAUUGAUCGCUCUGUUUGGUACAGUUGAUGGGAAUAACCAGGAAGGGAAAGCUGUCUCUCUUUGUACUCUAUUAGCCAUAAGGCUCAUAUUGCAAUUUUGGAAAUUGGAGACUGUACCUACCUUUGAAAUGUGGUUACGGGAUUUAGGGAAUGUAAUACAUAUGGAAAAGAUUCGAUACAACACCUCCAAUAGAAGUCGUGUUUUACAAAAUAUGGCAGCCGAUACUGGAUAAAUGGUCUAGUCCCGUCUCAUAACUGGGCUGACAAUCUGCUGCUACUCUGUGCUGUACUCCACUCAAUAUUUAUUUUUGGCUUAACUACACUGCUUGUAAUGACUAUAUGCUGUCUUCUUAUACAUGUACCACCUAAUAGGAUUUUGUUUUAUUUUGUGUAUGUGUGAGUUAACUUUUGUUUUGUCCUCUAAAUUGGCCAACCCAUUCAACAGUACAAUGAAUGUCAUUGUUUG